rnacentral:rRNA from 1 species
GGACUACUCGGGUAUCUAAUCCUGUUUGCUCCCCUUGCUCUCGCGCCUCAGCGUCAGGCCUUAGCUAGAAAACCGCUUUCGCCACCGGUGUUCUUCCACAUAUCUACGCAUUUCACCGCUACACGUGGAAUUCCGUUCUCUCCGCCAAUCCUCAAGAUAUAUAGUUUCACAUGCAGCUCCGAAAUUGAGCUUCGGAAUUUCACACCUGACUUACAUAUCCGCCUACGCGCCCUUUACGCCCAAUAAUUCCGAUUAAUGCUUGCACCCUCCGUAUUACCGCGGCUGCUGGCAC